rfam:Bombyx mori DNA, contig: Bm_scaf2_contig1698, strain: p50T/Dazao, build 2, whole genome shotgun sequence.
UUAGCUCAUAUUUGUAUGAAAUAGGAUCGUUUACGUACGUUUGCCGCUAGGGGCGCUGUUCCAACUGCAUGCAAAAUUGGGUUA